AGUCGAACGCGAAAGCCCCCUUCGGGGGGCAAGUAGAGUGGCGCACGGGUGAGUAACACGUAGGUAAUCUACCUUUGGAUGGGGAAUAACCACCGGAAACGGUGGCUAAUACCGCAUAAUGCAGCGGCACCUAAUGGUGACAGUUGUUAAAGCGGGGGAUCGCAAGACCUCGCGUCUGAAGAGGAGCCUGCGGCGGAUUAGCUUGUUGGUAAGGUAACGGCUUACCAAGGCGAUGAUCCGUAGCCGGCCUGAGAGGGCGGUCGGCCACACUGACACUGACAUACGGGUCAGACUCCUACGGGAGGCAGCAGUCGGGAAUUUUGGGCAAUGGGCGAAAGCCUGACCCAGCAACGCCGCGUGAAGGAUGAAAUCCUUCGGGAUGUAAACUUCGCAAGAGCAGGAAGAAUAAGUAAGGGUUAAUAUCUCUUACGAUGACGGUACUGUUUGUAAGCUCCGGCUAACUCCGUGCCAGCAGCCGCGGUAAUACGGGGGGAGCAAGCGUUGUUCGGAUUUACUGGGCGUAAAGGGCGCGUAGGCGGCCACCGCAAGUCGACUGUGAAAUCUCCGGGCUUAACCCGGAAAGGUCAGCCGAUACUGCGGGGCUAGAGUGCAGAAGGGGCAACUGGAAUUCUCGGUGUAGCGGUGAAAUGCGUAGAUAUCGAGAGGAACACCUGCGGCGAAGGCGGGUUGCUGGGCUGACACUGACGCUGAGGCGCGAAAGCUAGGGGAGCGAACGGGAUUAGAUACCCCGGUAGUCCUAGCCUUAAACGAUGAAUGCUUGGUGUC
rnacentral:rRNA from 1 species